UACGAAGAAGUUUCCCUAUGUGCUUGUAGGUGACGAAGCAUUUCCACUCAAAACGUAUUUUUCAGACCAUUUCCAGAGCAAAAUCUACCAGUAAACCAAGCAAUCUUUAACUAUCGUUUGAGUAGAGCCAGAAGAAUAAUUGAAAAUUCAUUUGGUAUUUUAGCAGCAAAUGGAGGCUAUUUAGAAAAC